rnacentral:rRNA from 1 species
AUGGAAGAAAAAGUUUGUAAGCAGGGGCAUGAGAAGGCAAAUUCAUUUUUCACUGUUUAUGCGGGAGCAAUUGAGCUCAAGAUUAGAACGCCAUUUUUGCCCAUCGAUGAUUCCAGAUUUUCAGCUGCUUUAAUCCACCGGCAAGCGGAAGCGCUCCACCGUCACCAUGUCACCGAUGACUGCCACUUUGAUAGCCCUUGCCUUGUGCCUCGCCCCUGCACCGGGCGCAGCGGCGUCCGCUGCGGGGCAACGACACGCUGGUCUCGGCACAGGGCAGGUUCGAGCUCGGCCUGUUCAGCCCCGCUGGCAGCUCCGGCGACAGGUUCUACCUCGGGAUUUGGUACAAGAACAUCACCGGCUAGACCAUCAUCUGGGUGGCCAACCGCGCGAGUCCACUAUCUGCUGUCGCCUCCGCCGAGCUCCGGGUGUCCGCUGACGACGGCAACCUCGAGCUCGUUGGUCGUGUGGUCUUCGAACUUGUCGUCGUCGUUGUCUUUCUCGCCGUCCCCUGGCUCGAACACCUCCAACGUGUUGUGGCAGAGCUUCGAGCACCCGACGGACACGCACAUGUCGGGGGCAUGGGUUGGUGAGAACAAGCUCACCGGCGAGUACCAGGUGCUGACGUCGUGGCGGAACGCCCAAGACCCUGAACCUGGGAUAUUCAUCGAGACGGUGGACCCCAAUGGCAGCAGCGAGUUCCUCUUCAUGUGGAACCGGUCCCGUACGUACUGGCAGACCGGCCUUUGGACGGGGCGCUUCUUCGCGAACAUGCCGGAGUCGGCGAGGGGGAACGUCCUGUUCAACCAGACGUACGUCGAGACGCCGGCGUACCGGCGCCUCACCAAUAUCCUCUAUAACAACGAGACCAUCACGCGCUUGGUGCUUGAUCUCAGUGGCCAGAGCUGGCAACUCUUCUGGACCGCGCCCACCGAGCGAGUUGCCUUGCCGGUGCCCGCCCAGUUUCACUCCAGCGCCGGAGGGGGGCUGGACGCUCAGCGACCGGAGCGUGGCUGCCGCCAGAGCUCGCCACUCACGUGCGCGCGCAACGGGUCAAUGACGGACGGGUUCCUAGCGUUGCGGAAGGUGAAGCUCCUGGAUGACCCGCUCGCCGUGGGCGUGGCCCAGAGCAAAGCAGAGUGCGAGUCCGCUUGUCUCAAGAGCUGCUCUUGCCAGGCCUACGCUUUCUCCAACGGGGAUUGCGCUGUUUGGCCCGGAGACCUCCGCAAUGUUCAGCAGCUCUACGCGGACUCCGGCGUCUCCGGGUCAGACCUGUAUCUCCGGCUCUCGGCAACAGGAUUGCGAGACCUCCAUAGCGCAGACCGGAAGAAAGGGGAGAAUCAUUGGCUUAUUCUUGGCAUGACAAUGGUCGGUGUUCUGGCCUUUGGAGCAUCGUUAAUACUGGGCUGGAGGAUUCUUGGUGCCCGGAGGAGGCGACUGGCCAACAUGGCCAACGAGAACUCUUUGACGGUGUACAGCUACGGCGACCUCCGUGCCGCCACGAAGAACUUUUCGGAGCGACUCGGCGGCGGCGGCUUCGGCUCGGUGUCCCACGGUGUCCUGAAGCAGCAAUGCAUCGUACACUGCGACAUCAAGCCAAAGAACAUCCUGCUGGACGAGGACAUGUCGGCGAGGAUCGCCGACUUUGGGAUGGCGAAGCUGGUAGGGAGGAAUUUCAGCCGAGCGUUGACGACGAUGCGGGGCACCAUCGGGUACCUUGCGCCGGAGUGGAUCUCCGGGCAGCCCAUCAGCGCGAAGGUGGACGUGGUACAGCGAGGUGGAGGCGACAGGGACCAUGGAGCGUGGGCGUCGACCUUCUUCCCAGUGUGGGCCGCGAGGAAGGUCGUGGAAGGAGAAGUGAGCGUCGUGGCUGACCCGCGGCUGCACUGCGACGUGAGGCUGGAGGAGUUGGAGUGCGCGUGCAGGGUGGCGUGUUGGUGCGUCCAGGGCGAGGAGGUGCGGCGCCCGACCAUGGUGCAGGCCGUGCAGGUGCUGGAGGGCGCCGUCCAGGUCCACGCGCCGCCGGUGCUGCAGCACCUUGUCACGCUCACGUAA